AUUAGCCUCGUGUCGGCAGAGCCAGAGUAUAAGGCUAGCUCGGACGCUACCAAGGGAGUGGAAAGAGACGAGAGAGAGAGAGAGAGAGAGAGAGAGAGAGAGAGCCGGAGAGAGGAUAGGAAGAGGGAUGGCCUCGUCUCGAAGACUGGUGACGGUGGUGCUAGUGAUGAUGGUGACGGCUGUUCACUGAUCGGAUGCUAGAAGUCUGGCAGCAUCCCCUAAAGGUCAUGCUGGGCAACCCACGACCACGAUUCGCCAAGUACCUACCAUCGGAGGAGGGCUUCGUUGGGUACUUCGGGGUCUCUCCUCUGGGUGAGGGUACUGGUGUUCUCAGUAACCAGGCUCAAGCGACAGCUGAGCGGCUGAGCCGGGAGACUUUCUCCCCACCCAGUGGCCUCCGUUAUUUGCCGGUGCCGCCAGUGCCACGCGUACGGGUACUGCAGCGACAGUUGAGCCGGGAGACUUUCCCUCCACUCCGCUGCCUGUGGAGGCAUUGGCCGCCAGUGCCACGGGAUACCCACCACCAUCACCAUGUGACAACUAUUGCGACCCCCCAGACGCAAUCAAUCAUCACAUUUUUGACACAUUGGCUGGGGAAACCGAGGCGUUGGCUUUCGCAAGACUGUGAAUUUUCGCCGGCCGUCAUAGCAGAGUUCACUUAGCAGCCCGAAACAACCUACGGUGCAAUGGGAUGUGACUGGGUCAAUAUCGGCGAGGUGUUAUUGUAACAACGAAACUAACACAUUUCUUGUGUAUCACAUGAAAUACAUGCCAGUGUAAUCGGA